rnacentral:rRNA from 1 species
GUGCAGCAGGCGAGAAUCCUCCGCAAUGCUCGAAAGAGCGACGGGGGACUCCAAGUGCCUACGCUCAGCGUAGGCUGUUCCCGAGCCUAAAAAGCUCGGGGAGUAAGGGCUGGGGUAAGACGGGUGCCAGCCGCCGGCGGUAAUACCCCGCAGCCCGAGUGGUGGCCGCUAUUAUUGGGCCUAAAGCGUCCGUAGCCGGCUCGGUAAAUGCCUGGGUAAAUCGUCUGGCCCAACCAGACGAAUUCCGGGUAGACUGCCGGGCUAGGGACCGGAGGAGGGAGA